rnacentral:rRNA from 1 species
UGGGGAAUUUUGGACAAUGGGCGAAAGCCUGAUCCAGCAAUGCCGCGUGUGUGAAGAAGGCCUUCGGGUUGUAAAGCACUUUUGUCCGGAAAGAAAUCCUUGGCUCUAAUACAGUCGGGGGAUGACGGUACCGGAAGAAUAAGCACCGGCUAACUACGUGCCAGCAGCCGCGGUAAUACGUAGGGUGCAAGCGUUAAUCGGAAUUACUGGGCGUAAAGCGUGCGCAGGCGGUUUGCUAAGACCGAUGUGAAAUCCCCGGGCUCAACCUGGGAACUGCAUUGGUGACUGGCAGGCUAGAGUAUGGCAGAGGGGGUAGAAUUCCACGUGUAGCAGUGAAAUGCGUAGAGAUGUGGAGGAAUACCGAUGGCGAAGGCAGCCCCCUGGGCCAAUACUGACGCUCAUGCACGAAAGCGUGGGGAGCAAACAGGAUUAGAUACCCUGGUAGUCCACGCCCUAAACGAUGUCAACUAGUUGUUGGGGAUUCAUUUCCUUAGUAACGUAGCUAACGCGUGAAGUUGACCGCCUGGGGAGUACGGUCGCAAGAUUAAAACUCAAAGGAAUUGACGGGGUCAUAGCUGUUUCCU